rfam:Triticum aestivum genome assembly, contig: Triticum_aestivum_CS42_TGACv1_scaffold_362069_4DS
AGCUGAUUCGGUAGCCAAGGAUGACUUGCCUACACUACAUGCAUAUAUGUGUACACUUUGUUAUAGCUCUGUUUUUCUUUUCUUUUGUAGGAAAAAAAACAGAGUUAUUCGGGGUAUAUAUAGGCAUGUCCUCCUUGGCUAUUCGGAGUAGCUCA